rnacentral:rRNA from 1 species
CCUGAACGCUGGCGGCGUGGCUAAGACAUGCAAGUCGAACGGGUGUAGCAAUACACCAGUGGCGGACGGGUGAGUAAUGUAUCGCUAACGUGCCCUGGAAUCUGAGAUAGCCAAUCGAAAGGUUGGGUAAUACCAGAUGAAAUAUCCUUAUCGCAUGAUGAGGAUCUCAAAGGAGCAAUCCGGUCUGGGAGCGGGCGAUAUCGUAUCAGCUAGUUGGUGAGGUAACGGCUCACCAAGGCGACGACGCGUAGCCGGGCUGAGAGGUCGGCCGGCCACAUUGGGACUGAGACACUGCCCAGACUCCGUACGGGGG